CUAUUAAGUAGCACCCAAACUGCAUUGUUGAUCCAGAGAUCUUGAUGGUUAUUUACUAGAGUGAGAAUUGUCAGGAAUUCAGUGUGAAUUCAAAAUUAUUUUCAAAUUUAAAGGCCGAACUAGUAUAAUUUGAAUAAAAUCUGCACAUCUGCUGUGUUUUUAGUCUACAAUUUUAAAAUUCAAUUUGAAUUCUCACCAAUUAUCACUUUAGUCAAUAAUUCUGCUGACAGGGCUAGUAUGCUCAGUGGGGUCAGUUACCUAUUCAAAGGGUCUUUCUCCCAAUCACAGAACACUGCAUGCUUACAGUACGCUUAUGCUGGU